UACGUAGGGUGCAAGCGUUACUCGGAAUUACUGGGCGUAAAGCGUGCGUAGGCGGUUUUUUAAGUCUGACGUGAAAUCCCCGGGCUCAACCUGGGAAUUGCGUUGGAGACUGCAAGGCUGGAGUCUGGCAGAGGGGGGUAGAAUUCCACGUGUAGCAGUGAAAUGCGUAGAGAUGUGGAGGAACACCGAUGGCGAAGGCAGCCCCCUGGGUCAAGACUGACGCUCAUGCACGAAAGCGUGGGGAGCAAACAGG
rnacentral:rRNA from 1 species